rnacentral:misc_RNA from 1 species
GGUUCCCCCUCACACCUCUCACGAGGCGUGGAUAUCGCAGUCACUCUGUCUACAUCGUAUCUCGUAUACCUCUGACAGGCGUCUGCCAAAGUGAAAGUAGCGCUCUCAACACAUCGGCUCAUACGGUACCGACGCCUCACGGCAACAGUACCGCAUAUGCCACGUAGCCGCACUCGAGUAGAAGUUA